ncrna:Providencia alcalifaciens DSM 30120 Fluoride riboswitch
GUCUUGUUAGGAGAUGGCAUUCCUCCUAGUUUAACCGUCCUUUUGUGGACUGAUGAUGCCUACGUAAAC